rnacentral:rRNA from 1 species
AUUGAACGCUGGCGGCAGGCCUAACACAUGCAAGUCGAGCGGAGCGGCGGACGGGUGAGUAAUGCCUAGGAAUCUGCCUGGUAGUGGGGGAUAACGUCCGGAAACGGGCGCUAAUACCGCAUAUUAUUCGAGCGGCCGAUAACUGAUUAGCUAGUUGGUGGGGUAAAGGCCUACCAAGACGACGAUCAGUAGCGGGUCUGAGAGGAGGAUCCGCCACACUGGGACUGAGACACGGCCCAGACUCCUACGGGAGGCAGCAGUGGGGAAUUUUGGACAAUGGGGGCAACCCUGAUCCAGCCAUGCCGCGUGUAUGAAGAAGGCCUUCGGGUUGUAAAGUACUUUCAGCGGGGAGGCGUUACCCGCAGAAGAAGCACCGGCUAACUCCGUGCCAGCAGCCGCGGUAAUAC